rnacentral:pre_miRNA from 1 species
AAUAUACUCCCUCCGUUCCGAAUUACUUGUCGUACGUAUGGAUGUAUCUAGAUGUAUUUUAGUUCUAGAUACAUCCAUUUCAGCGACGAGUAAUUUGGAACGGAGGGAGUAUAUC